UCCCCCUUUUCUUUUUCCUCAUCCUCUGAGAGCUUUUCCCGCAGCUUCACUGGGACCACCUCUUGCAAACUGGAGGCGAUUGGGGGAUUUUUUAAUGCUUUUCCUCAGAAACCCAGAGCCAGCUCAUGGGGCAGUCUGUACCCCUAUCCCACUGCAGCCUACUCCCAUGCACCCCUUCUCCCAUGCCAUAACCCUCCCCCCGAUUUUUUUUUGCCGACCAGGAGGCUUCAGGACCCCAAAACCCCCCUGGCCCUGCUGCAACCUCAGCUCGGUCCCCACCCGGUCCCCCGGGUCCCCCCCUUACCUGCGGGGUCGGGACACGGCGUUGCUCGGCUCCCUGUGCACCUCCCGGUCCUGCGGAGGGGGUAUAUAAGGGGCCGGGGAGAAACUUCUGGAAACUUGGGAAAACCCUCUCAAAAAUGCUGGGGAGGGAGAGGAAGGGGAGGAUCCGUCCCGGCUCUCCCGCCCGCCGCCAAUGGCAGGGAAUGCCGGCCCCGCGCCGCCCGGGGGGGUCGGGAGGGAUGGGGGAUGCGCCUUCCCUGCUCCUGCCCUGCCUGGCCUCCUGCAGGAGCGUGGGCAGCUGUGCCUGCCCUAACUGUGCUUUUGCCUUCUUGCAGGGCUCGGGUCUGUCUUAUUUCCAUCCUCUCCCUGCCCCUGGCAUCUCCUGCAGCUGGAUGGUUGUUGGCACCUACCAAAGGCAGGUGUGCUGGAGGAGGAAAAGGAAGAGGAAAAGAUCUGAU
rnacentral:lncRNA from 1 species